rnacentral:rRNA from 1 species
UACAGAGGGGGCAAGCGUUGUUCGGAAUUACUGGGCGUAAAGGGCGCGUAGGCGGCCUGCUAAGUCGAACGUGAAAUCCCCGAGCUCAACUCGGGAACUGCGUCCGAUACUGACAGGCUUGAAUCCGGGAGAGGGAUGCGGAAUUCCAGGUGUAGCGGUGAAAUGCGUAGAUAUCUGGAGGAACACCGGUGGCGAAGGCGGCAUCCUGGACCGACACUGACACUGAGGAGCGAAAGCCAGGGGAGCAAACGGG